CUUCUUAGCUUCUGGGUAUCCAGGGCGGAACCAGCAGGGAGCUGUGGCUCGCAACAUCUUGCUGCCUUCGGGAGCACCGGCCUGGCUCUGCUCCCCUCCCAAAUGGCGGCUUGCCUCCAGGGCCGCCUCCUCGGCCACCUUCUUAGCUUCUGGGUAUCCAGGGGGGAACCAGCAGGGAGCUGUGGCUCGCAACAUCUUGCUGCCUUCGGGAGCACCGGCCUGGCUCUGCUCCUCUCCCAACUGGCGGCUUCAAUGAGUGCUGCGGCCGCCACUUGUCGCCUUUAUAUAGGCACAGGGCAGACUGGGUGGGACUUCUCCUUGAUAGGUUGGUGCUUCAGUCCAAUCACACUGAGCCUCAUCUUCCACCAGACUCCAGCUUGGGAAUGCCUCAGGGGGUGCGCUAAUGGAAUCAACUGGAACUCCCGGUUGCUAAACUUGGAGCUAGGUUGCUUUUCCUGAGUUAAGUAACUGUCCCUGCAAGGCAGUCCUAUAAUGGCUACUGGAAUUGGGCUACCUAGGAUUAAAUUAAGGUUCAGGGAGGUUGGUCAACUUGCUUGGGCCCACACAGCACCCCUUGGAGCCAGGACUGGGCCAGCAGUCUGCUGCAUGCUGGAGGGCGGGAUCCCUCUGGGGCUGCCUUUCCCUGCUCUGUGCACUCCGCCGCUGCGGGCAAAUUGAGGACAGGAAGCGGACCGCACCCACUUCUCUCCCAGGACUUGGGCAAUGUUCAACACAGGUGGUCUUCCAAAGGUUCAUAGAAAAUGCACAUGGUGAAGAAACUAUGCAUGGAUUUCCACUGGUUUGCACUAAAAUAAACUUGUCCUAACUUCUGAUAACCUUUCUGAACUAGAUCUAGUUUGAGGCACUAAGAAGGAUGAGACAUCCACUGAAAAGGACUCCCAUCAGAGCAACAUGAAUUCCACGAAAAUUGCAGCAAGAGGAAACAUCAAAUUUAUGGUGAAGCUUGGGUGGAAGAUUGAAGAAAUCAUUGACGUUUUAAGAAAAGCUUGUAAGGACACUACCCCAAAGAAAUGAACUCUUUACGAAUGUAUAGCUUGUUUCAAGAAGAGGUGAGAAGAUGUGGAAGAUGAAUCCUUCAGUGGCUGUGAAAACCACUGUGCCCAGAUCAGCUGCAGUUACGACGAGAGCUAUCAGUGGAAAUUUUAAGCAGGAGGGAUCACGAUCCUGACGCAUCCCUCUGACAAAUUGUAAGCGGCAGUUGGAACAUGGCUUCACCAAUAUGAUCUCGAAGGCAAAGCAUCAUGAAAGCGAUGGCUACCAAGAGGUGGCAGUGGUCCAGUCAAAGGAAAAGGAGGCCAGUCAGGAGCCCACAUCAUGGCAUCAGUGUUUUGGGACACUCAAGGCAUUUUGCUUGUUGACUUUCUGAAAGGCCAAACAUCUGCUUAUUAGGAGAGUGUUCUGAGAAGCUUAGAUAAAGCUUUGGUAGAAACAUGCUGGGAAAGUCUCACUAGAUCCUUGUUCACCACAUCAAUUCUCUGCUCAUUCCUCUCAUCAAACAAGGGCAAUUUUGUCAGUUUCAAUGGGCAGUCCUUAGGAAUUCACCUUACGGGCUGCUUUCAUUCCUUCUAAAUUCUUUUUGUUUCCUAAUGAUAAAAAGUCUCCUUGCCUUGCUUGGAAAGAUGAGAGAAAGUCUCCUUGCCUUGUUUGGACAGAUGAGAGAUGAGAUCCUCCUCUUCUCUCCCAGGACAGAAUGGUGAGACUUGAGUUUCCUUUCUCCUCACUCUUCUCCUCCUUGAGGGAGCUGCUGUGCCGGACAGACCUGCCCCCGUGUCUAGACACUGGUAGACUCGUUUAAGUUCCUCACAGGCAAUCCUCCAUGGGGUCAAAGUGGAAGGACUUAUUUCUUGAGGGCUCAGUAGUCCACAUCCUGGCGUGCACCUUCACCAGCCCAGGGCGGGGUAGAGGAGGGUGAAAGGGCGUGGCUCAGAGCCCGCUUCUUCCGCUCGGGCGUAUCCUGGGAGGAACCCUUGUCCGGUGAGCAUGUCUUCGUCUCUACCAAAUUCCCUAGUGGGACAUUUCUGGCAGCCCUACUUCUUCAGCAGCUUACGGGGGUCAGGUGGACCUCUGCUAGUCACCAGCCUGAAGCCCUUUCUCCAUUUCAGCUAUUUUGGCAGUUGCCUAGGUGACUUUUGAACCUCAUUAUCCAGAACAGCAAACGGACGAGGGGUGAGAAGAGUGGCCGUCUGGGUUUGCAGCAUAGUGCUGCCUUCUAGGAGUUGUGCAGUCUUCGAUUGUGUGAAACUUCACCUGGCUGAUUUGUGGCAAUGCCUCCACAAAUUCGCUAAAUUCAGUAGCUUUUGCCUUCCAAGAUUCAUUUACACAAUGUUGAAUGCUUUAAAUGAAUGAGCAUGAAGAGUGCUGGGCUGGAAAGUGAUGAGAUGGGUGGUAGGGACUCCUCGGAGUAGAGGAGUAGAGUUUUACUAUUAUGACUAGGAGGCAAAUAAAAAGAAGCUGAACGUGAUCCAUAAUAAAAGAAGCACACACUCACAGAGCUCCAUACCAACUACAUUAAAAUGGAAAUCAUGAUAUUUGGAAAUACAACUUAAUUGGAAAUCAUUAAGUAAUCUCAUCAACCUUUUUACAGUGGGUGGCAGGGCUAUGGAGGGAAAACAGCAAUGGUUCUGGCACCUACUUAACUUGAUUCCAUUAAAUUCACCCAACAGGCCUCCAGAGAACAUAUUACUGCUUUGAUAUUACAAAGGGAAAAACAGCUAUGGCGUCUCUGAAAAGCACAACGUGCUAGGACUGGAAUGACUUUAAAACCACACAUAAAUUUCUGAGAGAUUUUUGCCAUAAGGUACCAUCCACCUUACUGUAAACCACAUCCUAAAAUUGUCUGCAGUGCAAAUGGAUUAUGUGCAUCCAACAGGAAACAGCAUAGGUUGAGAAGCUGUUACUUAAUAGCUUCAUUGUCACCACGAGUGUAAAGUGCGGGGUCUCCUCACUUUUGCACCCACGUUUUGCCUGUUGGUUUCUCCACACUGUCAGGAGCAUUUGACCAACUCACUGUGGCUCAGGGUCCCUUACGCAGCCUGUUGGGGAAACCAGUGGGUAUUGAAGACCUGCCUCUGGUGUGCCAGGAGGUUGUGCCUGCCGGCCACUCUGACUUGCGAUCUUCCGCCUCAGUGUAUGGCUUCCUACACCUGGGUAAUUAACAUUGCCAGCAUGAUAAGGAGGUCCUUUCAUCACUAUUGCCACUAAUCCUUCCGACUCCUGUGCCCUGUUUCUCCUUUAUUGGAACCCAAGAACGAGUAAACAUAGCAUUUUCAAACAUCCCGCCCCCUUCCCUGGUAACACCAAUAUUCCACCAUCCUAAUUCCCUCACAAGCAUUCAGUCUCUCCACCCUGAGGUGGUGAAAUCCCUGCAGGCAUUUAUAAGUAUACCUGGACAGAAGAAAUACAAGAUACCGUUCUAUUAACUCAAUAUAGUGUUGCUAAGUUCGUACUUGUGCUUGGUUUAUGUUAUUUUAUAAAUACGUAUCACUCGCAUGGUUCCAAAUGCGGUAGGCACAGAGAGUAUAUAUGAUGGAAUUACAUCCUCCUUCCCUGCACUCAGCAACCGAGAUCUUCCCGCUACGGGCACUCAAAGGUUUCAUUGUCUGAAAUAUCAGCCUAAACGUAGUUUAUGUUUAGGAAGCAACAACCGUAAAUAGGCCCACAUCCAAACGGAGUGGAUUUAGGUUUCACUUUUUCAAGGAAAAACCAUCAAAGAAUUUUUCCACAUACUUAUAAAGCAUCCCACGUUUUUUGGGUCUCUAUCUCCUUCAAUUCUGCUCGGAUCUUAGUUAUUUCUUGCCUUCUGCUAGCUUUUGAAUGUGUUUGCUCUUGCUUCUCUCAUCCUUUUAAUGGUGAUGUUAGGGUAUGCAUUUUUGAUCUUUCCUCCUUUCCCUUGUGGGCAUUUAGUGCUAUAAAUUUCCCUCUACACACUGCUUUAAAUGUGUCCCAGAGAUUCUGGUAUGUUGUGUCUUUGUUCUCAUUGCUUUCAGAGAAUAUCUUUAUUUCUGCCUUCAUUUCGUUAUGUACCCAGUACUCAUUCAGGAACAGCUUGUCCGGUUUCCAUGCAGUUGUGCGGUUUUGAGUGAGUUUCUCAAUCCUGAGGUCUAGUGUGAUUGCAAUGUGGUCUGAGAGACCGUUUGUAAUAAUUUCUGUUAUUUUACUUUUACUGAGGAGUGCUUUACUUCCAACUAUGUGGUCAAUGUGGAAAUAAGUGUGAUGUGGUGCUGAGAAGAAUGUAUAUUCUGUUGAUUUGGGGUGGAGCGUUCUGUAGAUGUCUCCUAGGUCCGCUUGGUGCAGAGCUGAGCUCAAUUCCCGGAUAUCCUUUUUUAACUUUCUGUCUCGUUGGUGUGUCUAAUGUUGACAGUGGGGUGUUAAGUUUGCCAUUAUUAUUAUUAUUACUAUGUGGGAGUCUAAGUCUCUUUUGAUCACACUUUAAAGACCAAAAGGUAGAAGCGCAAAGACGUUAUCUGUCCAAUAUUACAAACCUAGUAAGUGGUGGAAUUUGGCCUUGAACCCAGAUCUGUAACUCCAGAGCCGAAGUGCUUCACCCACCUCCCUGUGGUGCCUCUACAGAAAAAGAGGUAAGCAGGCAUUCCGAAAGCUGGUGGGCCGGGGGGCUGGCCUUGUACUCAGAAGCCAUGGAAGUCCCACGUGGGGUGGCUAGUGGUGUAAGGACAGAGGUCUCGGAUGGGCAGAGGGAUGUGGACAGGCGCGAGGGCGCGCGGCAGGGACUCGGGGGACUGGGAGUGGCGGCUCGGGGCUGCGGGAGGCGAUUGGUGGAAGGACAGAGGUCUGGGAGGGGCAGAGGGAUGUGGACAGGCCCGAGGGGCCGCGGCAGGGAUUCCGGGGGACCGGGAGUGGGGGGUUGGGGUUACUCUUGGCUUUUUGCCCUCUCCUGCCGCCGGCUGCUCCAGUUUCUUUCGCUUUGCGGCGAGGUGGGCAGGGUGAGCUCUCGGGACUGAUGGCGGUUUUGGAAGAGGCCUGGGGCUAAGGACAGGCCAGGGCGGCGGGAGAGGCGGACCGGUGGCGUGGCUGGAUCUGGGCGCGCUGUCGGACCUUCCACAUCACCAGCUGCAGGCAGGCGUUUGCGUCCUCGCUGGAGUUGUGGCCGUCCUGGCUGUCCUGGAUGAUCUGUGCCAGGUAGUCGGCCGCGAGAUUCCUGAGGGAGCGCUUGUAGGGGAAACCCAGGUAGUGCGGGAAGAGCACGGCCGUGUCCACCACGGUGCUGUGGAUGAGCUUCAGGGCCAGCAGGUCGCUCUCCAGGCUGUGCCCGAUGAGGAUGGUUUGGGCGCUGAAAAAGCUCAGCAGGAUGGCUUGGACUUGGGGCAACGUGAUGCUCGUCUUGGCGACGUCGGCCUCGGUGACUCCGGAAAACCUGGUGUUGUAGUCCACGAUCUCGUUGUCGGGCUUGACGAAGGUGUCGUACACCACUCGCAUGUCGGCGUCCACCACGGUGACGCGGGUCAGCUCUAGGCCAUGCGUGGUGUAGCACAUCUCACAGUCCAAGGCGUAGAUUCCUGGAUAAGCGUCUCUGGACAACUCUUUCUUGAAGGUCUCCACGAAGCCAUCGAGGCUCUCCUUGCGGCCGUCCCGCACGUGCUGCUUUGCCACCUGGCAGCCCACAGAGCCAGGAGCAGCUGCACAGCAGGUGUACUGGCUAACCCGGCCUCCAGCCACCUGGCUCGAGCGGACCCGCCCCCAGUGAUAAUAACACAACUGGUCGCGUACACAGCGGCCCGAGGAGGACACCAGGUACUCGGUGCCACAACGGCAGCAGACCCUGCAGGAGGAGUCGCCGGGCCCCUUCCCCUGGCCAGUGAAGAGGACGGCGCCUCCGGGCCGCUCGGGGUGCGGGAAGGGGUAGCCGUUCUCCUUGAGCUGGUCCUGGGUGAGCAGGAACUCCUGGAGGCGGCUGUACAGGGCGGCCCUGCUGAGGCCGGGCAUGGAGCUGGGGGUCAGGCCCUUCAGUCUCUUGAGGGUGUUCAGGACCACGUUCAGGUACCUGUUCUUGUUGGGGCUGCAGUCGUAGGCCACCUUCUCCUCGUUCAGCGCCUUCUCCUCGGCCUCCUGCUUGGAGGCGCAGAACUUGAGACACUCUUCGGUGAACAGCUGGAGAUAGCCUCGGCGGAGGACGGUGGGGACUUGGCACCCAGAGCUUCGGAGGAUAAUGGGUUUCUUCAAACUCAAACUCGGUAAGGAUGCACGACGGACGAUUCGCUUAGAGCUGGUGGUGGCGGUGGUCUUGCAUGCCAUCCCUGACCUGUUGCGCGUCUUCCCUGGCUGUCUGCCGACCUUGGAGCCACGGGAGCGUUGGCUGCUGCUGGCCACCCGGGUUCUCUUGGCAUCUGUGUAACCUGUGACCAAGCAAGGGCUGGAAGAGUGGGCGAUCGUCUUCCUCUUCCUGGGGGCUGAGAUGCGGACUCCCGAGGGCCUCUCUGUCAGCCUUGGGGCGGCUGGCAAGCGGCAGGCCGAUCCCCUCUGCGCAGGGAAGUAGCACGACUCCGUCACCAUCUUGGGCCACGCUGGGGGCACCGCCGGACCCCUGUUCUGGGGCUCCGCCUGGAUGUCCACAAAUGCUGAGGCCUGCUUGUGCAUCUGGGGCACCCAGAGCCCGAAGCUCUGGGCAGGCUGAUGAGAGGGCAGUGGGAAUUCUGGAGCCUCGAGGGCCGCCUCCUCGGCCACCUUCUUAGCUUCUGGGUAUCCAGGUGGGAACCAGCAGGGAGCUGUGGCUCGCAACAUCUUGCUGCCUUCGGGAGCACCGGCCGGGCUCUGCUCCGCUCCCAAAUGGCGGCUUGCCUCCGGGGCCGCCUCCUUGGCCACCUUCUUAGCUUCUGGGUAUCCAGGGCGGAACCAGCAGGGAGCUGUGGCUCGCAACAUCUUGCUGCCUUCGGGAGCACCGGCCUGGCUCUGCUCCCCUCCCAAAUGGCGGCUUGCCUCCAGGGCCGCCUCCUCGGCCACCUUCUUAGCUUCUGGGUAUCCAGGGGGGAACCAGCAGGGAGCUGUGGCUCGCAACAU
rnacentral:lncRNA from 1 species